UACGGAGGAUGCGAGCGUUAUCCGGAUUUAUUGGGUUUAAAGGGUGCGUAGGUGGGAUUUUAAGUCAGCGGUGAAAGUUUGUGGCUCAACCAUAAAAUUGCCGUUGAAACUGGAGUUCUUGAGUAUGUUUGAAGUAGGCGGAAUGCGUGGUGUAGCGGUGAAAUGCAUAGAUAUCACGCAGAACUCCGAUUGCGAAGGCAGCUUACUAAACCAUAACUGACACUGAAGCACGAAAGCGUGGGGAGCAAACGGGAUUAGAUACCCGUGUAGU
rnacentral:rRNA from 1 species